UUCCAGACUCCUACGGGAGGCAGCAGUGAGGAAUAUUGGUCAAUGGGCGGAAGCCUGAACCAGCCAAGUCGCGUGAGGGAAGAAGGCCCUGCGGGUCGCAGACCUCUUUGGACGGGGAGCAAGGCCGCCGACGUGUCGGCGGAAGGAGAGUACCCGUAGAACAAGCAUCGGCUAACUCCGUGCCAGCAGCCGCGGUAAUACGGAGGAUGCGAGCGUUAUCCGGAUUUAUUGGGUUUAAAGGGUGCGCAGGCGGAAGCGCAAGUCAGCGGUAAAAUUGCGGGGCUCAACCUCGUCGAGCCGUUGAAACUGGGUGCCUUGAGUGGGCGAGAAGUACGCGGAAUGCGUGGUGUAGCGGUGAAAUGCAUAGAUAUCGCGCAGAACUCCGAUUGCGAAGGCAGCAUGCCGGCUCCACACUGACGCUGAGGCACGAAAGCGUGGGUAUCGAACAGGAUUAGAUACCCUCGUA
rnacentral:rRNA from 1 species